rnacentral:rRNA from 1 species
GAUGAACGCUAGCGGGAGGCUUAAUACAUGCAAGUCGAGCGAGAAACUUUCCUUCGGGAGAGCGGACAGCGGCGCACGGGUGAGUAACGCGUACGCAAUCUACCUCUUAAUGGGGAAUAGCCCCGGGAAACUGGGAUUAAUGCCCCAUAGUAUUAUUGAUUGGCAUCAAUUGAUAAUUAAAGUUCCGACGUUAAGAGAUGAGCGUGCGUACUAUUAGCUAGUUGGUAAGGUAACGGCUUACCAAGGCUACGAUAGUUAGGGGGCGUGAGAGCGUGACCCCCCACACGGGUACUGAGACACGGACCCGACUCCUACGGGAGGCAGCAGUAAGGAAUAUUGGACAAUGGGCGCAAGCCUGAUCCAGCCAUCCCGCGUGCAGGAAGACGGCCCUCUGGGUUGUAAACUGCUUUUAUAUGAGAAGAAACCCCGGGAUUUAUCCCGGGCUGACGGUACCAUAAGAAUAAGCACCGGCUAACUCCG